rnacentral:lncRNA from 1 species
UUUUAUUCUGGUUAUAGAACCCAACUUUUAUCUUUUGCUGUAAACCGAAAAAAUAUGAAGAUGUAGAUCUACUCGCAAAACUCAGAUCGGACGUAGAUUUACUCCAAUCUAUUAGAACGAAGUUAUUUUUUCAGCAACAAAUUGCGUAUUACUCUAAUUAGUUGCAGGUACGUACACUACUAGAAUUGUUGGCGCACAAAACCCCCUCUUUUAUAUUUUCUUCUCAAAUCAAAUCACUCCCCAAAUUAAUUAUCAGUCUUGUCUCUUGCUAUACCAAAUCUCGAAUUUCUUCUCUUUUCUCUCACCGAGCCCUAAAAUCUAUCAUUUGCCCGCCUGCCAUCAUGUCACUGGUCAAAACGAUACCUCCUACCAGGAAUAUAUAGCUUAAGUUAGGGUUUAUGUCGUUUCAUACAUGUAUAUAUCUUCGCUCUCUAGUGACCUUUUCUUCAUCAAUUCAUGCCUUCUCUUCAACUAUUGUCGCAACUCUCAGGUCGAUGACCCUUAAUUUGUGAAGCCCGACCCUUUCCCCCAAUUGCCCAGUCCGCCAGCAAUUCCUGUGGGGAUUAAAUGUUCUUCCUCUUCUUAAAUAAGUACCUUCUUAGUCCUCAUAGCCAUCAAUGUCAAGUAAGAAUUCUCAUCUUUUGUUCGUUUUCAUGUAUGUCUUUAUAGAUCUUUUGUGUAUAUAUUUGCUAAAUUUUGAAUUUUUUAAAAUUAUCUGAUGAUAUUUUUAGAACAAAUUAAUUUAAAAUAGUCUGAGUUUGUAUGUAUUAGCGAUAUAAUUUGUUUUCAUAUGUUGCAGUCUAAUUGUUUGAUAUAUUGCCCAAAUGAACCCAAAAACUCAAUGAGAAAAUUUAUAGGAAUUAUGGGAAUUGACAUUUUGAUGUUUAAUAAUAGAUGUGUAAAAUGUGGCGCCUAGUCACCAAUUUCCUCUACUUCUGGAAAAUGGGUAAAUUUUCUUCCCUUUUUUCCAUGAUCUCAGGAUGAUAUCUUUCUUGAUUGAUUGAAAUACCUUUUGUAAAAAUCUAUUUUGUAAUAUUUCAGCUUACGGUUCAGUGGUUUAUUAGGGUAAUAUAUUAUGAUGUAGAACCAUUAAACAUUUAACGACAUCUAAAAUUGUCGUGAUCUUGACAUUAAUGAUUUCAGUCAUCCCAUUAUAACGUCAUCUACAAUUGUCGUGAUCUUGACAGUAGACAUUAGUUAUUUCUGGCAUCUCAUUAUAACGGCAUCUAAACUUGUCAUUAUCCACUAGACAGUAUCAUUUCAAGCUUUUGAACAUAAAGACUUUAAAUAGCUGCGAUUUUGACAGUAGACAUAAUUGUUUCAGGCAUAUCAAUGUAAUGACAUCUAAAAUUUUCGUGAUCUUGAUUGAAAACAUUAGUCACUUCAUGCAUCUCAAUGUAACGACUUUUAAAAUUGUCGUGAUCUUGAGUAUGGACAGUAGACAUUAGUUAUUUCACGCAUCUCAAUAUAAUGGCAUCUAACUUUGUCGUGAUCUUGACAGUAGACUUUAGUUAUUUCAGGCAUCGCAGUAUAACGACAUCUAAACUUGUUUUGAUCUUGACAGUAGACAAUAGUUAUGACAGGUAUCAACAAUGGAGAUGCUGGAACCCAAAGUUAUGUAUUAUGUAACAUAUGGUGGUACAUGAACAUCCAGAGAGUCGGUUAAUACCAAUAUAUCAUUGGUUUGCAUGCAGUUUAGCUCUAACCAAUACUUAUUUGGUUGUGUUAUAUGAGAGUGGUUGUUUUGUUCUGUGCAUUAUAAGCUUUUAGGAGCUUUGUGUCUUGUGCCCAUAAUUUAUCUUCUAUGCCAUUUGAUGGAUAUUUCCACUUGAUCACAAUUUCAAUUUCAACUAGUGUUUCCUUUCCGACAUUCAAACAAACUAUCAUUUUCUCUGUUUCCAGUUUCCACUAAGUGAAUAUUUUCCCCAAUUAACAGUUGCUACUUCUCACUGAUAUUAAAAUUGUUCUUACAAUGUCUUUCUGUCUUCCUUGUCAGUUCUCAUUAUAAAUUAUGGCUCUUUCAUGCGGCUUCUAUGAGUCCCUCCCUCCCUCCCUCCCUCCCUCCCCUCUACGGUGGUAUCUUUUGAGUAGUAAAUUAAUUUAUAAGAUUCUAAUACUACUAAAUUAAUGAUCUUCCUUCCUGGAUUUUGUCUGCCAGUAAUGUCCUAUAUCUACAUUUUUUUGAUUUUGUAAUUACUAUCUCUCUCAUCCAUGAAAGAGAAAGAAAGAAAAAGGCAUUAUAGAACAGCCAACAACAUAUGGAACUAAAUACAUUUAGGAAUAUAAUUUUCAGUUGCUCUGUGAAAAUGUAUCUUUCUAUUCUUGUUAUCAAGCAUUCAAUUCUGCAGUUUACUUAUUACGACAUAUGUCAGUUCAGGUGUUAAUUGGUAUCCAAUAAUUGUAUGAUUUAUUAUCAGCCACCAACUUAUCCUAACCUGUUGGAUAUACUAUUGUCAGACUUGGACUUUCUGUUCCACAUGUUCUUUCUUGCUCGAUACUGUAAGCUUCUUGAACAGAACUCUUUCAGGGGAAGGACGGUUGCCUACCUUUUGAUAUAUUUUGUUUGAAGUUUUAAGCAUGUUCUAAAAAUGUCAGUUCAUCAAUAUUCAUGUUAUUGCCCAUACUUGACCAUCCAUUUUAGCCCGUUUAUUGCUCUGUGCACAUACUGCAUUGUUGUUAUCAUUUGUCAAAUAUCAAAAUCUAUGGCUUUUACAAAUUGGAAAAUGAAGUUUGCAGAUGUUUGUGUCAAUUUUUUGGUCGUCAGUUAUAAAUAAUAAGAACUAGUGGUAACUCUUCUUGAAAAGAUAUGUAAGAGGUGAGUCACUCUUAUAAUUCUAUUAAAACUCAUAUGCUGCUAUAUUUCGCAAUUAUAAUUCAUUCAAAAUUAUCACAAUACAUAAUAGAAUUCAUUAAUCACUAACUAGUCCAAAAGUAAACUGCAGUCAUAUACCAAUUAUUACGAUAUAUAUAUAUUUCGCCAACAGUAUAUCAAGAUGUUUAACUUUGUGAACAUGCAGACAUUAAAGCCAAAUUUUUUGCCUUAAUGGUAUCAAGAAAAUUUUAAACUAAUUGGUAUAGUUGCUCCAUUCCAGAAAAGUAGUCCAUUUUCAAAGUAUAAUUGGUAAUUUUUAGGUGCUAAGUAUUGGAUGCAUGCAAUAAUAUCACUACUUUUUAUUAGUUUGGAAUUUAUGUGUGGUGGACACUUUAGAAUUUUACAAAUCAUAAUUUUAAUUUUUCUACUUUAUAUGAAAUAUUUAAGAAAAUCAGAUUCUUGUCAUGUACUAUGAUUUAUGGAAUAAUUAUACUUGUAUUUGGUUUGGGUGGGUCGAAAGGUAGUGGCCUCGUGAAGCGUAUCAGAUAGAUAACUUUUAGAAGCCCAUCAUAUGAGUUCUAAAAGAAAAGCCCAAAUUAGGACCACAACCUCGAAGUUAUUCCCCUAUCUGCAGUUGUGUACCAAAACAUUUAUAUUUGAAAAGUACUUGUCUUUUUCUGAUUUUGUCACAUACAUACUUGUAAAUUGUAAUAAUAUUUCUGUACAUGUCUGCCCACUUUUAACUCCUUCCCUUAGGAUGAUGAAUAAGUUAAGGAGGAAAGUAGCUAUGUUGAGCACAGGGUGGCUGCUUGUGGCAGCAGCAACAACAGCGGUAGCAGCGACUUAAGAUGGAUGGAGGGGCUCUUUUUGAGCUCUCAGUUGUUAAAUUAGAUAUUUCUUUUGGUUUAACUCACAUAGGCUACUGUCUUGGGUUUAUAUAGGUUACAUGUUGCUAUAAUUUGUGAGCUAUCAUAAGCAAAAUCUUGCUUGGUGAAGUGUAAAGCUACUGCCUCGGCAGCAGCAGUAGGCUUAAUGGACAAGGGCUGGGGCCUCCCUUGGGCAUUCAAUUAACAUACUUGAAUUAUAAAGGGUGGAUAUAUCACCCAUAUACUAGCUAAAUUUCAACAUAAAUAAAUCAAAGCCUUGAAUAAAUCAAAGUUAAACAAGUUUUUUAGUCAAUAUUCUUCUUAUAUUUUGUGUUUCUCUUAUAAUGAAAGUUAAGUUCCAUAUCUUGAAUUUUAUAAGAAUUGGGUUAUGUUUAGUUUCAUUUGUUAUGUAUAAUUGUUUUUCUUUUUGUACAAAAACACCUUGGUCAGUUGGUGUAGUGCUACAUGAGAUGGCCAAACUUCUUCGAAGAUUAAUAUUCCUUUGUCAUUUGAAUUUGGCCUCAAAAGGAUAUUUGUUUUAACUAAAUAUGUUUUUGAUUGAUUUCAGAGUCGUACUGAUUGUAUUGUUUUCAAACUUUUUGGAAAAGAUCCUAGUAAAUUCCCUUGUCUUGCGAAGUCAGGUAUGUCAAUAUUUAUGGGUAGCAACUCUAUUGUCUUUGUGUAUUGAUUUUGGCACUAAGUGUCUCUGGUGACCUAUUUGCUUCAGUUUUCUGACUUGCUAUUAUUUUUAAAUGUGCAGGAAGACUGCUUCUACGACCUGCCUUACAAUACUGGGUAUCAAAUUUCCGUGCUACGUUUACGGAAGACAAGGGACGAAAUUAUGAAGUGUACUCUCUCUAUAUAUGUAGAUAUAUACUUUGAUUGAAGAAUUGUGGUAGCUUUAGAUGGUUAAUUGUAAAAAUAAUGAAUGAUUAUGUAGUGGAUGAUUUUAUUAAGUUAAUAAUAUUUUAGUUUUUUGUAUUUUUGUCAUUAUUUGCUAUGUGGACAUUGAGCCAGUCAGGUACACAAAAAGAAUAUCAAAUUUUGAUUUGACAACAAUAUAAUUCGUUACCAAAGCAUUGAACAAGUUUUAAU